UCUACGGGAGGCAGCAGUGGGGGAUAUUGCACAAUGGGCGAAAGCCUGAUGCAGCAACGCCGCGUGAAGGAAGAAGGUUUUCGGAUUGUAAACUUCUUUGAUGAGGGACGAAAGAAAUGACGGUACCUCAGGAACAAGCCACGGCUAACUACGUGCCAGCAGCCGCGGUAAUA
rnacentral:rRNA from 1 species